rnacentral:rRNA from 1 species
GUGGGGAAUUUUGGACAAUGGGCGCAAGCCUGAUCCAGCAAUGCCGCGUGCAGGAAGAAGGCCUUCGGGUUGUAAACUGCUUUUGUACGGAACGAAACGGUCCUGGCUAAUACCCGGGGCUAAUGACGGUACCGUAAGAAUAAGCACCGGCUAACUACGUGCCAGCAGCCGCGGUAAUACGUAGGGUGCGAGCGUUAAUCGGAAUUACUGGGCGUAAAGCGUGCGCAGGCGGUUUUGUAAGACAGACGUGAAAUCCCCGGGCUCAACCUGGGAAUGGCGUUUGUGACUGCAAAGCUGGAGUGCGGCAGAGGGGGAUGGAAUUCCGCGUGUAGCAGUGAAAUGCGUAGAUAUGCGGAGGAACACCGAUGGCGAAGGCAAUCCCCUGGGCCUGCACUGACGCUCAUGCACGAAAGCGUGGGGAGCAAACAGGAUUAGAAACCCCGGUAGUCC